GAAAAAAGUCUUUCUUUUCUGGUAACAACAAGAAGACUUUAAAAUGAUAUGAAAACACACAGUUUUUUGUUUUGUUUUGUUUUUUUUAAGGAUGAUCCUAAAAGAAGCUAAAACUAAACUGAAAAAUAAAUUGGCAACAGCACCAAUGGGAAUUCUCCACACCAAGUUGUGUGUUCUAAAAGACCAAGGCUGAAGGUUUUAGAAACCCAAAUUCUGUGGUGCAAUAUGACAGCCCAUUGCCAUCUCAGAGAUCCUCUUCAAAAGUCC
rnacentral:lncRNA from 1 species